AAAUCACACAUGCCCCGACACAUAGCCCUGGGUGCCUGAAAUUUCCCUAUGGAAGCAACAGGUUGGGUUUAUGCGGGGGCGUGGAGGCCUAAC
rnacentral:sRNA from 1 species